rnacentral:rRNA from 1 species
GAUGAACGCUGGCGGCGUGCCUAAUACAUGCAAGUCGAGCGAACAGACGAGGAGCUUGCUCCUCUGACGUUAGCGGCGGACGGGUGAGUAACACGUGGAUAACCUACCUAUAAGACUGGGAUAACUUCGGGAAACCGGAGCUAAUACCGGAUAAUAUAUUGAACCGCAUGGUUCAAUAGUGAAAGACGGUUUUGCUGUCACUUAUAGAUGGAUCCGCGCCGCAUUAGCUAGUUGGUAAGGUAACGGCUUACCAAGGCAACGAUGCGUAGCCGACCUGAGAGGGUGAACGGCCACACUGGAACUGAGACACGGUCCAGACUCCUGCGGGAGGCAGCAGUAGGGAAUCUUCCGCAAUGGGCGAAAGCCUGACGGAGCAACGCCGCGUGAGUGAUGAAGGUCUUCGGAUCGUAAAACUCUGUUAUUAGGGAAGAACAAAUGUGUAAGUAACUAUGCACGUCUUGACGGUACCUAAUCAGAAAGCCACGGCUAACUACGUG